ACGGGAGGCAGCAGUGGGGGAUAUUACACAAUGGGGGAAACCCUGAUGCAGCGACGCCGCGUGAGUGAUGAAGUAUUUCGGUAUGUAAAGCUCUAUCAGCAGGGAAGAAAAUGACGGUACCUGACUAAGAAGCACCGGCUAAAUACGUGCCAGCAGCCGCGGUAAUACGUAUGGUGCAAGCGUUAUCCGGAUUUACUGGGUGUAAAGGGAGCGUAGACGGCAUAGCAAGCCAGAUGUGAAAGGUGGGGGCUCAACCCCCAAGCUGCAUUUGGAACUGUUAAGCUAGAGUAUCGGGGAGGUAAGUGGAAUUCCUAGUGUAGCGGUGAAAUGCGUAGAUAUUAGGAGGAACACCAGUGGCGAAGGCGGCUUACUGGACGAUAACUGACGUUGAGGCUCGAAAGCGUGGGGAGCAAACAGGAUUAGAUACCCUGGUA
rnacentral:rRNA from 1 species